rnacentral:rRNA from 1 species
UACGGAGGGGGCUAGCGUUGUUCGGAAUUACUGGGCGUAAAGCGCACGUAGGCGGCUUUGCAAGUCAGAGGUGAAAGCCGGGGCUCAACCCCGGAAUUGCCUUUGAGACUGCAUCGCUAGAAUUGUGGAGAGGUAAGUGGAAUUCCGAGUGUAGAGGUGAAAUUCGUAGAUAUUCGGAAGAACACCAGUGGCGAAGGCGACUUACUGGACACAUAUUGACGCUGAGGUGCGAAAGCGUGGGGAGCAAACAGG